rnacentral:rRNA from 1 species
UACGUAGGGUGCAAGCGUUGUCCGGAAUUAUUGGGCGUAAAGAGCUCGUAGGCGGUCUGUCGCGUCUGCUGUGAAAACUCAGGCUUAACCUGAGCUUGCAGUGGGUACGGGCAGACUAGAGUGGCGGUAGGGAGACUGGAAUUCCGUGGUGUAGCGGUGAAAUGACGCAGAGUAUCGAGGAGGAACACCGGUGGCGAAGGCGGGUCUCUGGGCCGUAACUGGACGCU